rnacentral:rRNA from 1 species
UACAGAGGGUGCAAGCGUUGUUCGGAAUUACUGGGCGUAAAGCGCGCGCAGGCGGUCUUCCAAGUCAGUGGUGAAAGCCCGGAGCUCAACUCCGGAACUGCCAUUGAAACUGUAAGACUUGAGGAUGAGAGAGGUGAGUGGAAUUCCCAGUGUAGAGGUGAAAUUCGUAGAUAUUGGGAAGAACACCGGUGGCGAAGGCGGCUCACUGGCUCAUAUCUGACGCUCAGGCGCGACAGCGUGGGGAUCAAACAGG